UGGGGAAUUUUGGACAAUGGGCGAAAGCCUGAUCCAGCAAUGCCGCGUGUGUGAAGAAGGCCUUCGGGUUGUAAAGCACUUUUGUCCGGAAAGAAAUCCUUGGCUCUAAUACAGUCGGGGGAUGACGGUACCGGAAGAAUAAGCACCGGCUAACUACGUGCCAGCAGCCGCGGUAAUACGUAGGGUGCAAGCGUUAAUCGGAAUUACUGGGCGUAAAGCGUGCGCAGGCGGUUUGCUAAGACCGAUGUGAAAUCCCCGGGCUCAACCUGGGAACUGCAUUGGUGACUGGCAGGCUAGAGUAUGGCAGAGGGGGGUAGAAUUCCACGUGUAGCAGUGAAAUGCGUAGAGAUGUGGAGGAAUACCGAUGGCGAAGGCAGCUCCCUGGGCCAAUACUGACGCUCAUGCACGAAAAGCGUGGGGAGCAAACAGGAUUAGAUACCCCUGGUAGUCCACGCCCCUAAAACGAUGUCAACUAGUUGUUGGGGGAUUCAUUUCCUAGUAACGUAGCUAACGCGUGAAGUUGACCGCCUGGGGAGUACGGUCGCAAGAUUAAAACUUAAA
rnacentral:rRNA from 1 species